UACGGAGGGUGCGAGCGUUAAUCGGAAUUACUGGGCGUAAAGGGUGCGUAGGUGGUGGUAUAAGUUAUCUGUGAAAUCCCCGGGCUCAACCUGGGAAGGUCAGAUAAUACUGUAUUACUAGAGUAUGGGAGAGGGUAGUGGAAUUUCCGGUGUAGCGGUGAAAUGCGUAGAUAUCGGAAGGAACACCGGUGGCGAAGGCGGCUACCUGGCCUAAUACUGACACUGAGGCACGAAAGCGUGGGGAGCAAACAGG
rnacentral:rRNA from 1 species